rnacentral:rRNA from 1 species
UACGUAGGGGGCAAGCGUUUGUCCGGAAUUAUUGGGCGUAAAGAGCGCGUAGGCGGUCCGAUAAGUCGGCUGUGAAAGUCAGGGGCUCAACCCUUGAAAGCCGGCCGAUACUGUCGGACUAGAGUCCGGAAGAGGCGAGUGGAAUUCCCGGUGUAGCGGUGAAAUGCGCAGAUAUCAGGAGGAACACCGGUGGCGAAGGCGGUCUCUGGGCAUUACCUGACGCUGAGGAGCGAAAGCAUGGGGAGCGAACAGG